GAUGAACGCUGGCGGCGUGCCUAAUACAUGCAAGUCGAGCGAACAGAUGAGGAGCUUGCUCCUCUGACGUUAGCGGCGGACGGGUGAGUAAAACGUGGAUAACCUACCUAUAAGACUGGGAUAACUUCGGGAAACCGGAGCUAAUACCGGAUAAUAUAUUGAACCGCAUGGUUCAAUAGUGAAAGACGGUUUUGCUGUCACUUAUAGAUGGAUCCGCGCCGCAUUAGCUAGUUGGUACGGUAACGGCUUACCAAGGCAACGAUGCGUAGCCGACCUGAGAGGGUGAUCGGCCACACUGGGACUGAGACACGGUACAGACUCCUACGGGAGGCAGCAGUAGGGAAUCGUCCGCAAUGGGCGAAAGCCUGACGGAGCAACGCCGCGUGAGUGAUGAAGGUCUUCGGAUCGUAAAACUCUGUUAGUAGGGAAGAACAAAUGUGUAAGUAACUAUGCACGUCUUGACGGUACCUAAUCAGAAAGCCACGGCUAACUACGUG
rnacentral:rRNA from 1 species